AGCUGUCAUCUCAGUUCUCAGUCUCACAGUGUACUUCCCCCUCGUCUCCACUGAUUACAUACCAGAAGCUAUGGCUGCUGAGCUUGUGGGUGGAGCAUUUCUCUCUGCCGCUGUUCAAGUUGCUUUUCAAAGGCUGGCGUCUUCUGACAUCACAAACUAUUUUCAAUCAAGAAAGCUCAAGGAUAGCUUGUUCAGCAAACUUGAAAUCACUCUCAUUUCAUUGAAUCAAGUGCUUGAUGAUGCAGAAGCAAGGCAAUACACAAAGCCCAAUAUCAAGAAGUGGCUUCAUGAGCUCAAACAUGUUGUGUAUGUGGCCGAUGAACUCUUAGAUGAGAUUGCUACUGAGGCAACCAGGUUGAAGUUCGAAGCUCAGAAUGAAACUGCUACCAGUAAGGAUGUUCUGGGAUUGAAGGAAGGUUCCUGUGGUGGUAGUGAAGUUCGAAUUAGGAAAGUCUCCAACAGAUUGCCAACUGCAUCUUUGGUGGCUGAUGAGUCCGGCAUAUAUGGUAGAGAUGGUGAUAAAGAAAAAAUGAUUGAGCUUUUGCUUAAUGAUGAUUUGAGUAGGAACCAAGUUUCUGUGAUUUCUAUAGUGGGUAUGGGUGGUUUAGGUAAGACUACCCUUGCUCAAUUAGUGUACAGCAACAAUAGGGUGGAGAAUCAGUUUCAACUCAAAGCUUGGGUGUGUAUUUCAGAAGAAUUUGAUGUUGUUAGAAUUACUCAAACAAUUCUUUCUGCACUUGGAUGCUUAGUAACUGCAUAUGAAGACCUUAAUCAGCUUCAGUUGAAAUUGAAAGAGAAAUUGGUGGGGAAGAAAUUUUUGCUGGUGCUUGAUGAUGUUUGGAAUGAGCGCCAAUCUGAUUGGGAAGCCUUUCAAGUUCCUUUUUUCUAUGGGACAUUAGGAAGUAAGAUCAUUGUUACAACACGUAGUGAAAAAGUAGCAUCAGUUGUGUGCUCUAGUAGAGUGUUCCGCAUGACUUUAUUAAAUGAAGAAGAUGGUUGGAAGUUAUUUGCAGAAUAUGCAUUCAGAAAUAAGGAUGAUAGCAUGUGGACAAAUCUUGAGUCAAUAGGUAAAAAAAUUGUUGAAAAGUGCAAAGGAUUGCCUUUAGCUAUAAAAACACUGGGUGGCCUCUUGCAUACAAAAUCAUCAGAGAAACAAUGGAAUGACAUUCUUAAUAGUGAAAUAUGGCAAUUGCUAGAUGAUGAGAGUGAUGUAAUACCAGCUUUGAGAUUAAGCUAUCAUUACCUUCCUUCUAAUUUGAAGCAGUGUUUUGCAUUUUGUUCUAUAUUUCCUAAAGACUACAAAAUUGAGAAGGAUUCUCUAAUCCAAAUGUGGAUGGCAGAAGAUUUGUUGCAUUGCAAUCAAGGAAAUAAAAAUGUGGAAGAAAUGGGAAGUCAAAUCCUGGUUGAACUAGAAUCGAGGUCGUUUCUCCAAAAGUCAAAAAUUCAUAAUAGGUAUGUCAUGCAUGAUCUCAUCAAUGAUCUUGCAAAAUCAAUAUCAGAAGAAUUUUGUUUAAGGAUUGAGGAUGGUAAAGUGCAAAAUAUUCAUAAAAGGAUUCGCUACCUUUCAUACUCAGCUUUACUUGAUAGCAAUGAAAUGUUGCUGGAGCCUUUUUAUGAGUGUAAGCAAUUACGAUGUUUUGUGUCUUUUAAACGAGCAGCAUUCUCCUUUAAAGAGGGAAUGGAUGAGGGUGAAAUAUUAUCAAAAUUUAAGUACUUGAGAAUUUUGAGCUUGAAAAGUUUUGAAAAUAUUACUAAAUCAGGUGUUGGUAUGAACAAUUCAAAGCACCUCCGUUAUUUAGACCUUUCUGACACCAGAAUUGAAAAAUUACCAUGUUCAAUUUGCAAACUGUAUAAUUUGCAAACUUUGAAAUUGUGUGGCUGCACUCAAGUUGUUGAGUUGCCUCCAGAUUUGCACAAAUUGGUGGACCUGCAUUAUUUUGACCUUUCUAAAACUAAGAUCAGCAGGUUACCUGAUUCGCUUUGUAAACUGCAUAAUUUACAAACAUUGAAACUGCAGGCAUGUCAAUAUUUGGUUGAAUUGCCACCUGGUUUACACAAUCUCAUUAAUCUCCAUCAUCUUGAUAUAAGUUGGACUAGCAUAAGGGAGAUGCCAAACAACAUGGGAAGGUUAAAACAUCUUCAAAUAUUGACUAGCUUUUAUGUGGGAAAGCACAGUGGGUCUAAUUUGAAGGAGUUAGGGAAACUCAAUUAUCUUCAAGGCAGUCUUGAGAUCUCUAAAUUGAAAUAUUAAUGACAUUAUAGAUGCUAGGGAAGCCCAUAUCAAUGAUAAGAAGUACUUAUAUAAAUUGGAUCUGCAAUGGAGUGGAAACAAUGAGGAUUCACAGAGAGAAAGGUUCACCUUGGAAGGUCUUCAACCUCAUGUCAACUUGAAAGAGCUUGCUAUUAGAAACUUUGGUGGUACAAGAUUUGCAGACUGGUUUGAUGCUCCUUAUUUGCCCAAUUUAGUAUCUCUUGUGUUGCGAGCAUGUAAAUAUUGUUUUUGUUUACCACCACUUGGGCAACUACCUUCUCUCAAGUCAGUUCAUAUUUCUAAAUUAGAGGGAUUAAAGAAGAUUGGGCGAGAGUUCUAUGGGAAUAAUAAUUUGUCAUGUGUUCCUUUCCCAUCCCUUGAAUAUUUGUUUAUUGCUGGAAUGUUAGAAUUGAAAGAAUGGAUUCAUUUUGAUGGUGCAUGUUUCCCCUGCCUCAAAGAGAUUGUUAUAAGAUAUUGUCCCAGGUUAAGAAAGUCACUUCCUCCCCACAUGCCAUGUUUAGAAAAGCUAGAGAUUGAACAAUGUGGAAAUUUGGAACUGGAAUCAUUCCCUGCCAAGGCAUUCUCUGCUCCUAAACUUGAAUCUAUCCAUCUUGCUGGGUUGACCCAUUUGAAGUCACUACAUGAAGACAUGCAUACACUCCUUCCCUGUGUUCAUUCUCUAUCACUAUUUCACUGCCCACAGCUGCAGUCAGUUCCUCAGAAAGGGUUGCCUUUGAGCCUUGUCCAAGUUUCAAUCCAUGAUUGUCCUAAACUUUUUGCUUCUCGUAUGAGCUGGGGCUUGCAUAGACUUCAUUCUCUGCAUGAGUUCUCUAUUGGUGAAAAUUUUGAAACUGUGGAGUCUUUCCCAGGAGAGGGCUUGCUGCCAUCCAAUCUCAAAGUUAUUCGAUUUGAAGGAUUUUCAAAUUUGAUCAGAAUAAAUAGCAGUGGCCUUCUUCCCCUCACAUCUCUUCAAGGAUUAAGAAUCUAUAACUGCCCAAAUCUCCUAUGCUUGCCAGAGGAAGGUUUAUCAAGGUCCAUUUCCUAUUUAGUUAUUGAUGGGAAUUGUCCAUUUUUGACACAACGGUACCAAAAGAAUGGACAAGAGUGGCACAAAAUUUCUCACAUUCCUUGGGUAUGCAUUAGCUAAUACUCCGUUCCAAGAGUUUUGUUAGCUUCUAAAGCCUAUAUAGGAAGUUUAUGACCCCAUUCUUGUUCAUUCAUUCUAUCUGAGAUCAAUUUAUUUAUGUUGGAUGGAGUCAUUUUCUUCAAUGCCUCUUCACUGGCAUCUAUAAAUGUGUAAAGUGAUGAAUCAAUUGACCUUGAAGUGUUCCUGUUCAAAAUCUGGCAAGCUAGAGAUACUUGUUAAAGCUUGGUAGCAAAAAUCCCUACUCAUUUUUUCAUUCAGGCUGCUUGGAAAUGUUGAAGAGCAAUGCUACUAUAUAGGAGACCAUAUUCAUAGCCAAAGCAGAAUUUUGUUCCAUCUGCAAUGGCCAGCAAAUUGUGUUUCUGGCUUUCCUGUCCGUGCUACUUGUACUGAUGCUGAGAAAUUGGACAUUAUGAUGUUAGAGAACAAGCCUUGGAUUAAGAGGCGCACAUGAAAAACUCUUGUAAUGAGAACUUAAUAAAUUAUUAGUUGUUGUAAGAACACUGACUUCUAUAAAAUUAUUGAAAUUGAUUCUGCUGCUUUAAUACCAGCUGGAAUAUAUGAAUGUUGGUCAUUUUGAAAUUAUAACU